AUGCGUCCACAUGCAUGUUCUUUGCUCGAGAAGAUCGUGGUGAAGCUGGAGCUCCAUGACAACAAGGACAAGCAGAAGGCCAUGAAGGCCGUCUCCGUGCUCGUCGGCAUCGACGCCAUAUCCAUGGACCUGGCGUCGCGCAAGAUGACGGUGAUCGGCACGGUGGACCCGGUGGACGUGGUGAGCAAGCUGCGCAAGGGCUGGGCGGCCUACAUCGAGUCCGUCGGCCCGGCCAAGGAGCCCGAGAAGAAAGAGGAGAAGAAGGAGGAGGCCAAGAAGGAAGGCGGCGACGGGGCCAAGAAGGAAGGCGGCGACGGCGGCGACGCCAAGAAGGAAGGCGACGGCAAGAAGGACGGCGACGGGAAGAAGGACGGCGAUGGCAAGAAGGAGGAGGGCGACGGCAAGAAGGACGGCGACGGGAAGAAGGACGGCGACAAGAAGGAGGAGGGCGACGGCAAGAAGGACGACCAGAAGAAGCCCGCCGCCGUGGCCCCGCUGCCGUACCCGCACCACAUGCCGCUGCCGCACCACAUGCCGCCGCCCUACAUGUUCAACGCCGACUACAUGAUGAACCAGUACCGGCCGGCGCCGCCGGCCUACCCGCCGCCGUACGUGCCGCCGCAGCACUACUACGUGCGGAACAUGAGCAUGGAGGAGAACCCAAACUCGUGCGUCAUCUGCUAA
rnacentral:rRNA from 1 species